rnacentral:rRNA from 1 species
CGGGUGAGUAACACGUGACCAACCUAUCUUUGGGUGAGGGACAACCUGGGGAAACCUGGGCUAAUACCGCAUAAAGUCUUUUUUUUCACAUGGGGAAGAGACCAAAGGGGGCCUCUGCUUGCAAGCUCUCGUCCGAAGAGGGGGUCGCGUCGUAUCAGCUUGUUGGUGAGGUAACGGCUCACCAAGGCGAUGACGCGUAGCGGGUCUGAGAGGACGAUCCGUCACAUUGGGACUGAGAUACGGCCCAG